AUUGAACGCUAGCGGGAUGCCUUCUACAUGCAAGUCGAACGAGUCGCGGACGGGCGUGUAAUAUCUCGGCACGUGCCCAGUAGCGGGGGAUAACUACUCGAAAGAGUGGCUAAUACCGCUAACUAUUCUAUCGGCCGUUAUGGGUUUAUCUAGUGGGUGGGGGAAAGGCUCAUCAAGGCAACGAUCCGUAGCUGGUUUGCGAGGCGGACCGGCCACACUGGGACUGAGACACGGCCCAGACUCCUACGGGAGGCAGAAGUGGGGAAUUUUGGACAAUGGGGGAAACCCUGAUCCAGCCAUGCCGCGUGUGUGAGAAGGCCUGCGGGUUGUAAAGUACUUUUGGCAGAGAAGCGGUAUCUACAGAGAAAGCACCGGCUAACUACGUGCCAGCAGCCGCGGUAAUAC
rnacentral:rRNA from 1 species